ACCAGAAUGAAGUCAGCAAUGACACCAUGAAUUAUGCCUCAUCUCCAGUUCUCAGGAACCAGCUGAAGAGGCUGUAGGAUGACUGAGGAAGGAAAAAAAAAGCAAUUAUGAGAGAAGAAGCUAAUUAAGUUUCUAGACUAUUGGAAAAUCCCAGUGCCACAGAAUAUGAAAGGUGAUGAGCGGCUGGCUGAGAAGAUGUGCAGUUGGCAGACCAUCUAUGGCUCUUUCCUUCCCCACUUCUCUUUUCUACCUGCUGAACAAAUCCAGCCCGCAGAGACAACAGUCACAAAGCAGGAACAGUGCUGAUGUGAAAAAGUUAUACAAGUGAACCAUGGAAGUGAUUGAGAGAUGGAGACCUGCAUUUGCUCUCCUGCUUCUGCAGAAAAUGACAGCUACUAUGGAAAACCAGCCAAAGGACAACAGCGAUGAAAUCUUCUGUCUUCUUGGCAGAUAUACUAAAAGCACUGGCUAUGGCAGAGCAACUCAAAAUUCUCUGGCAGACAGUGCUCCCCAGAAUUUACCUUCCCUGGCACCAGAAGGCAUGUUCAGAAACUUUCUCUGUUCUGUGUUCAAAGUUUUAUGGCCACAAAAUCAUCUGCAGAUAUUUGUAAGAGUAAUGAACCACUGGCAUGCAUCUGCUAUGCAAAAAUAUCUUCUUUAAAGCAGUGGUGAGCUGGAGAAUGGUCCAAGUCGUGGACUCAGGGGCAGAAUUUAGAAGAUUUUUAUGCUUUAUUGGAGGUUUCUCUUUAGCCUGCUUAUGCAUAAGAGGUGAUUCUUCCAUUCAGGAAAUACUCAGUAGUUGUUCAGUAGUUAACCCUACGUGUGGCUUUCUGAAUCUUAGGUUGGAAUGUAAGCACUAUCUUGGAAUAAAAAGUCUAGUCUAGACACUUCAUGAAAAAUCAAGGAUCAUGUCCUUUGGAGUUUUUAAAUUCAGUUCUGUCUGUAAUUUUAUCUCCAAAUCUGCAAGCUCACAGGUUACGCAAUGGCAGAAUCAUUAAACGCCCGCGGCUUUUCAAGCUUCAGCCUGUGUCUCUCUAAAAACAUCCAAUUUCUGUUUAUUCUCACAUCACUUUUUGUGCAGAUUAAUUGAACCCUCACUUGAAAAGUUUCCAAAGGUGCUGGGAAAAGCCUCAUACCUAGGAGGGUUUGCUAUCAAAUGAGAUACAGGAGUCAGAGAUUCAACAGAAACUUUAGAGCUGAGGCUCAUGCUACAGGUGACAUCUGCGACUGGAUUUGCCUGGAGUUUCUCUCCAUUCCCCACUUGACCGCAGGCUGCAAACAACUUGAGAAGCUGAAAUGGGGAAUUAUGCAAUAUUACAUUUUUGUAUAAAGUUAUCCUUCUUUAGUUAAACAGAUUCCCUUCUUGUCUCCGUCAUCAUCUUUGUAUUUUAGCCAUGAUGGUCUAGGGUUUAAGUGAGGCGAUGGCUUUUUGGGGGAGAGAGUUUAUCUUUUAUUGGAUUCCUGUAAGAGAACAGAUAAGCACUCAAGCAUGCAAGUCCAAAUGUUCAGAAGGGAAUUGCUUAUUUUAAAGCUUGCCCUUUGUCUCCAUUUUUUCAUCUUGCCUAAUAAAAGUAAUUUUUCCUUGCAAAACUUGCCAUGGCCAGCCCCGAGAUGCUACACAGAAUUCUGUCAGGGAACAGCAGGCUGGAUUCCAAGUAGGAAGGUGCUCAUAGACAAUUUUUGAAGAGCUGGAAUGCCAGCCACAAACAUGAAUUACACGUCGGUCUCAUGGAAUCAGGUGGGAGCAGGUCUGGGGGUUUUGGCUGCAGACGCUCAAGCCCAUUCCUUGGCAGUGUUACAGGAGUAAUAUUUGUACAAGGAUAAAGCACAACUUUGUCAAAGCAUUUGCACAAAUUAAAAACUUUGUUUUCCUUUGCUAUUAUUUAUAAUAGCAGUCUGAAAAUGAAAUAAAAUGAAACAAAACCAACCCAAAGUUGGUUUGCCUAUGAAAGAAUUUUAAUUGGUGCUCAUGGCAGGACCGAGUGGCACUGUGGGUCAUUUCUCAUGGACAUGGGCCCUGGGUUUCCUCCUCAGGCACAAGGAAAGUGGCUUGUUAUAUGUCUUACCAGAGGAAAAGCAUCACUGAAGAGUGGUCACUUCUGAGACCUGGCAUAUUUUACUCUCAUUCUCUAACUAGUUAAACAAUAUCCUUGUCAUCUCCAGGUUAGUGCAGUCUCUCACACAUUUAUUCAGACCCAGGACUGAAGAUAUUCCUUGGAUACACAAUAACCUGCUUGGCAUCACCCUUCCAAGUAGGUGCAUCAACAUCCUGAAGAUCUCAUACAGAGAAUUUGCCCCAGUAUCCCAGUAUAAUUACGUAGAGUGGUUUCAGUCCAGCCCUUUUCACUACUAUAGGAGCCUGCUGCUGUAUCUAUCCACUUAAGCUUUACUUUUCGAAUAUUGAAACACAAAUGCUUUUAAAUGCAUAGGCUACAGCUCGUGUGAACUGUGAGAACGAGGAGGAAAAGUAAAGUGUUUUCUUCUUAUUGGGAAUUCUUUAUUUGUAGCGAGAAAUGGGCUUUAAUACAACAGAUUUACGCUGAGUGAUCUGUCUUUGCUGAGCUGGAGAACAAGUCAUUUUUGCACCCAUAAUAUGAAGCAAAUUUCUGAUAAUGUAGGUAAAGAUUUCUUGAAUUUAACUUCAGCUUUAAAAGAAAAAGGAAAUGGCUGUAUUUAAAACCUGUGGUCACAUCGGGACCCUGGAAAGGUCUGCUGAUGUUGAACACUUUGCUGGCAGCGGCUCAAUACAUGGGAGGUACACUCUAUGCAGCAAAGAGCAGAAAAAUAACAAGUCAACUCUCCUGAUUGCUCCAGAAAUGAACACAAGAGAAAGACAUUACAUAGCUUUCUGAAACAAAUGAUCCCAUAAACCUCUCGCUCUGAGAAAUAGAUUUGUAUACCUGCAUAGGCUCAUAAUGGCUGAACACAGGACAUUAUUUUCAGAUGUCUUGGUAGCUGAUUAGAGCUAUUUAGAAAGUGGCAGUUUCAUUUUGUAGGCAAAUGCUGGAAUUCCUUCUUUUCUUCUCAUUUUGCACUGGAAUAACAUGCAGACAGUUGCUGAUAGAAUAAUCAAGAAACAAUACUCUAGUAUUAUAGUAAAAAAAAAAGCGCUAAUAUCUUAGAGAAACAAAAUCUUGACAGUUUCAUUAGGAAACCAGAAAAUGUAGUAAAAAAUUGAUAUGUCAUGUCAAACACUGCUACAAAUCUGCACUUCUCCAGUUCCUGCUCCAUGUCUGUCCUAGCAAGGGCUGGGACAGUGAGCAUGGUCGUGGCUGCAUCCUCCAGAUUGCUUUUCUCUUGCACUGAGAUAUCAGAGAAUUUCCCAAGGAUGCUGUUGAACGUGCUGGUGCCUGAAUCCCUCGUGCCGUGACACCCGGUGCAAGAUCAGGCUGUUUGAUGCAGCAGAUGGUCCUUGUUUCUGUCCCAGCAGCGCCUUGGGGGGAUGAUACACAGGGAGAUUUGUCCUGACAGGUUCUGGGGGUGAAAAAACAUAUUUUUUUUGGGAUCUUUGAUGUCUGUCUUUCUCAUCCCAGCCUCAUUUCCUCUGUUCAAAAGGCAUCUUGGUCUGGAUUUGAUCCUGGCUCUUAAAUUCUACCUCACCCUUACAAUAAAGCAGUGGUGGAAAUGGUGGGAAAUGUUAGGGCAUGAAGUCUGGUAUAGACAAGAGUGAAACAGGUCCGAGAAAGUCCAUUUUGCUCCAGAGCUCUUUAAAGCAAAAAGCUUCAUACAUUUAUUCUUGAUGACAGGGUUAGAAAUGUAUGAAGCUGUCAAAAACAAACUCAGAUGCAAUGCUGUGUCUGUCACCAUGUUGGUGGAGUUUAGAUACGAUUGAGAAAAAGAAUUUGUUUCCUUGGUAGCAGAAAAUUGCUUAUUUUACAAGGUGCCAUGGAGAGUGUUAUCUACGUGGGAUUUAUAGGGUAGAGGCUUUAAUAAUGCAUUUCAGCAGGAAAGGAAUAUUUGUUUUAUGACAUACUUCCCAGAGUGGUGGUUGGCUUUUAAAUGCACCGUGCCUUGAGAAAUAAUAAUGCACAUCUCAGAGAGCUGUGAUAUCACUUGCCCCAAGGGCAGGUUGGAUUUGCAAAAGGGUUGGAGCUCAAACUGUUCCCAAGACAUGGAGCAUCUGGACUGUAGAGGCACCCCGGCUGCCAGGCAUCCUGGUGGGACAUCAUCAGGAACACCCAUGUAUUAAACGUGCCCCAUUAUUUUGGACAGCACCUCUUUGUGUGGAAAUGCCAUUAGCACCAAUAGUGGCGUUGAAACCAUAAAAAGCUCUUGCUGUAGGAUAAUAUUAAUAUCAGGAUCCGGUCCUGUGAAAUGCUGCUUGCUGACAUCUGAUAGCAACAGUGAGAUAACGCGUAGUCUUUGAACUAAAUUCAACCAGGAUCAAAAUGGUGCUGUUGCUUUUAUAUUAAAGGCAGAAAAGACAAUACAAACGCGCAGAUAUUUGGCAAGUGGCAGCUCUGCCAGCUGAGUGGAACGGACAGAGCGGGCUGAGUGGGGAGCAAGGCACGUUACGUGACAAACAGCUAACGGGAGGACGGCAUCAAGGAGGCGCAGAGGGUUAUUCGUUGCUUAAUGAAGAGCCUCUCCAGGUUGAAAAUUUACAGUCCUUUCACAGUUCAAUUUUGUCGGGGCACGGAAUAAAAAUAACCAUUGAGAGGGGUGUAGCGGUGUUGCAGCUCACAGAGGAAGCAGCUCAGACCUUUCAGACCUCCAGCACAAAAUCAUAUUGACAAGGGAAGGCAGACUGAGAACACCAGCCAGCAAAGGUCAGCUGGGGCAGAGCAUGGGGGUGGUAAUUAGGCUACUAAUUAAAUACUUAAGGGCAAGCUGGGGAAGGAAGAAUGCUUUGCAGUAGAGAAAAAAGGAAGAAAAAAUUCCCAGCACAGUGUCAGACGGGCAUCACCGGUUCCCUUCAGACCCGUCUGCCUCAUGAUUGCUGAGACGAGCCAAGUCCUGGUUGAGAUGAGAAGAGGUCAGAGCAGCUGGCAAUGCACAUUUUCUUCACCGCAGAAGACUUGAACUUCAGAGAAUAACCUGCUGUGAGUGCUUCUCCACCAUCCCCAAGGGAAAGCCCUUGGUCAAAUAAGUGGGAUUGAAGCUGGAUUUUGGUGAAUGAGGGGUGGGAACAGAGGUGUUCCAGACAAGGGAUCAUCCUUUGCAAACCAGGAUGUGCUGCAGUCUCCACACAGCAUGUAGGUAACCAGACUAAAGUAAAUUUUAAAAGUUAGAAAAUAUUCCCUGGGGAAAACCAGGUCCCCAGUGAGUUCAAGAAGUUGAAUUUACAUCAUAUAAACAGUACAACUUGAUUUUCUGAGGGAGCUGGAGUCCCUGCAGAAUCACACACCUCAUUGACUUGUGCUUGGCUUCAUCCUGACGCCCUCCUCCUGGUCAGAUUUAAAAAAUCACACUCAUUUAAUCUUAUUUUUCCUGGGCUGAGAGAUCAAUAGUCCAGUCACACACAAAUAUAAUCCAAAUCUUCUUUCUUUACUGUUUUAGUUGCUAUCACAAAAAAGGCCUCAGACUGAAAAGAACUUUUACAAAACAUUGUUGACUCUGCCAGGACGGAUCAAAGCUAAAUCUGUAAUACGGUGAGAAGAGAGAAUUCAAAGAGUGAGGGAAAAGUGAAGCCAUUUGAGGCACAAAAUAAAUGGGUCACUUUAGCUGUGGUUCUUCCACCUCUAUGUUUUAUCAGGUUCAUAUUCUUAUUAUUUGAAGUAACGUCUCUGACGUAAAUUAAGCAUUUUACCUGCAGUAGGAAAAAGCUGCUCAGAACCUUAAGAGUAAAGUCAAGAUUUUUUUUUUUUAGAAAAUGUUUAGUGGAGCGGUUUUUUUCAAGGUACAUAUGAAAAUGGUUUUGAUGGAGGUGCUGGAACUGAUGGAAACUAUUAUUUAAAGGGCAGAGUAUCUCCCCUUGGGCUGAUCCUGUCUCUGUAUCUGACUGGGCCAGGAUCUUGUCCCAUCUCCAGAGGUUUGGGACAUUAGAUGCCCUUCUGCGAUAAGAGCAUUAUAAAAGUGACUGAAAAGAAAGAUUUACAGGUGUGUGGGAUCAGCAGGUACUAAAGCAAAUACUUGAACAUGGGCCCAGUCUAUCCAUAAAUAAAAUCUGAACUGUGCUGGGCCAACCAGACAGGAGGAAAACUGAACGUAAUUCACAUUACACUCUACUGCAGUGGUAUUUCAUGUUUCUGUACACCUUGAAAAUACAGCUUGGUGUCCAUGUACACACUGUACAGCUCACAUACAUAAUGGAAAAUCUUACCCCACCGUCGAUUAUCCUGAACAUCCGAGGCUGAUGGGGAAAAAUGGUUUUACUGAUAGCCAUUGGAAAGAGCACAAUGCCUUCAAUCCCACUGAAAAGAACUCCCUACAGAAAAAUUACACUCUAAAAGAGAAAAAGACUUGACUGUGGAGCUUCUCCGGUUAUAUCGUCCCAAGAAUUCAGCUACUUUGGUCAGAAAUUGCAUCCAAUUCAUUUAAUACUGUAUGUGUCACUAACACUUGGCCUCACAGUCUGUUUUUUAUUUUCUUUUUCACUAGAAUUGGGCUGAAAAAGGGAAGACUAUGAAUAAGGGAGAGGACUUCUGGAGCAGCUAAUAACCUGUGCAGUGUGGGGCUUGUCCUAUGCAGGGACAGGAGCUGGACUUGAUGAUCCUUGUGGAUCCCUUCCAACUCAGGGCAUUCUAUAUAAAUGCCAGGGAUGCAGAAGAGCCGAGCAGAGCAGGCUCUUCUCUGCACCCCCGGGAGGAAAACCCCACCAGGACAACAGGAAAGGCUCAACAAAUACAAAGCAUUUGGGACUAAAUCAAUAUUGCAAUCUGGGAUGGAAAUGCUGAUGUUUUAAUCAGUGUUGCCGCAUCAACGGGAGAUUAUUUUUAUUUUCUUGAAGGAAGCGGGGAAUGGAUGGAAAUGGGGAAUUUUAUCUCGCAACAGACCUCCCACCUUCAAUAAAUGUGCAGGGAGUGCAAAGGGAGUUCAGAACGCCCUGGUGACUGUCGAAUGCCUUCCCAAGUUCACCAUUCAAUACUUUCAUGUUAUUUGCAGGUAGUAAUUGACAGCGGCAGUUUAAUUAAACAGAAACAGCAAGACAGUUUCUUGCUAAAAGGGCAGGCAAUAGUAAUUUUCUAGAAAUGGAUCCCUCCAGCUCUCUUUGAGGAUAAACACUCAGAGCACUUGCAAAUUCUGAUAAGCAGCUUCAAACCUGCAUUGUUAUCUUGCUUUUUUUAUACUGUGAACUUGUUGGAAGGAAUAAAAAGAGGCAGAAAUCUUUAUUAUUCUUCCUAAGGGAUUCAUUGCGUUCUACUUUGCAAUGCUUCAUCAUAUUACAAAUUUUCACUGUACAUGCUUUUAAUAAAUACUUAUUGUUAUAAAGAUAAUAGCAGUCUUAUCACAUUAAUGACUUUGCGGUAGUGUAAAGGAAAAUAAAUAUUAAUAAAGUUAACAGUAACCUUGGUACAGUAGAACACCGGUAAGUGAGAAAUUUUCUCAGUGUUUUAUAGUACAAGAAAGCUCUGCCAGCAUUGGAAAGAAAAGUAUAUGAGAUAGAAAUGUAGAUAUUUUUGAAAAAAAGCUCAAUGAUUAUUUCCUAUUAUAGAUCACUGCUGUCUGUUUUAUUAAGAUUAUUCUCUCAGCCCCAGUUCUGCCCUGAGGUAUUUCUGCUGCCUACCAGCGCUGCAAUGAAUGAAGGAAGGCACCAUCUGGGCACUUGUCUUCCAGUGUGUAUAUAGGUCUUCUGGGGUUCUGCGUGGAUCCCAGCAUAUGGGUCAGACAGACAUUUCUUUUGGAUCCAGAAUCAAAAAAAAAGAAGCAAUGGCGCUACAGCAGUUUUUCUAGGCAGUUCUGCAUUUUCUCAUCAGAACAUUUUCCUUUUCCAUAGUUUUUCUCUGCGGUUUGUACACCAGCUGAGCCCAUCGGUGCAAGGCAAGAGCAGUUGUCCUGGCAUAGCCCAGAACGCUGGACUAGCUGUGAAUGAUCCAUAUGUUCGAUGUCCAUUGCUGUGGGAGACACAUCCAGCUUUUCCAGAAGUCUGGCUGCUUCAUGGAAUCAUAGAAUGUCCUGAGCUGGAAGGGACCCACAGGGAUCCAACUCCUUAUAUAACUCCAUCAUACACGUGGACUGGAAGAAUCAUUGCAAAUUCAAAUGAUUUUGUAACGAAGCCUGAGUGAGCAAAAAAAAAGGCAGAAAAAAAGGAAUUUUCAUUUUUUCUGAAAUUAGCAGAAAGAAUAACUCUUGGAGAAAACACUUUACGUCAGCAAAGAGGUAUGUGAUUUAUCUUUGUAAUAAUGUUUUUCGUAACUUUGAAGGUAAAGACAGUUGAUCUAUCUUGAUAUUUUUCAUACAACAUCCAACAAGUUAAAUGACUUUAUUUGCAUAUCUAAACCAAAGGCUAAUCUAGCAUAAGUGUGCUUGGGAAUUCAUCUCUUUGCAGCUGUACAGGGUCAGGACCCAUCCUCUGGUCCAGAGGGAAAGGAGCAUGUCAUGGCCAUCUCUUAUUUUAAAAGCAGGCUGACCUCAUGCGUUGACCUCAUCAGUGACAUCCUACCUAUGGGAACAGUCACGGACUGAGCCAAGUAUCAUCUGAGCCAAAACUGAGCGUGCAAAAGCGUGGCAGAGUGAGACCCCAUAGCUGCACUCCAGAUUUUGUCCCUCCUACCCCAACAGUGGCCAGGUAGCAACUUCUCAUCAGGUUUGAGGGACACUCGUGUCCCCCUUGGGUGCCCUAUCAUAUAGGGUUUGCUCUUUAUACAUGGAUUUCUAUUGCAACAAAUGACAAGUCCAUAUGGUAAGCACUUAUCCCAUGAGCUCAACAUUAACAAAUCAGCCUUGAUACUUGAAAUAUUUAUACAUUAUAGCUAAAAAAGACAGUUAUUUUUUUUGUUCAGCAAUAUGAGGUGUUUAACCAGAAUGUAAAUAAUUCACAAGGAAAGAUUCAUAUGUGAAGGCACAUCCAUGCACAUAUAUUAUAUAUAUAUUUGCUUCAUGCCACAAUCUGUGGUUUGUUUCAACUCUGAAGCCUCUGCUGAAGUCUGGGGUUUGCAAGGAACUUCAAGGUUAGGCACGAAUGAGUAGCAACAGAUGGGAAAGAGGAAAGAUUAGAGUAUGCAGGGGAAAGAGGUUAUAAAAUACAGUUAAUCUGUUUUUUCUUGAGUUCAAAAUUAGUUAAGGAAAUAAGGCACACACGUAAUCCAAGUUCUCAUUAAAACACAUCCCUGAUCAAAUUUUAAAUGUUUCGUUUUGAAUUCAGGAGCUGGAGGAAAGGCAAUAUAUGACAUGAAAGUUAAAACUCCGGGCAGUGGAGUGCACACAAUAUGGCCCACUGACCUACAAUUCCCUACCAGUGGCUCAGUGACGAUAUAUAUUAACAUGCAUAAUAGAUCUGAAGAGUGACAGUUUAAAUAUGUGGCACAGAGGGGAAAAGGAAAAGAUUAUUCUACAGCAGAAAUGCAAUGGCUCCAAGGCUAACGCUCUUCCCUCUUAAUUCACGACAGCAAUAGGAAACAACGGAAUUGUUCAUUUGGGAGAGGAGAAGCCGGAAGCAAAGUUCCCAUUGGCUUCAGACGCAACGACCCAUAUUUUUAAUCAGGAGCCACAUGCAAUGGUGACAGAGAAGCCACCUGAUCAUUUUAGCAGAGACCUGAGAAAUCUUAAAGCAUCUUUGCCCAUUUACUCUGCUUUUUAGCUAUCACAAACCCUUUAAUCAAAGCUCAUGACGUGUUACAGAUUUCUAAAUACUUUAAAAAAAAAAAUAAAUAAUUAAAGCAAAUAAUUUAUAUAAGAGCCUGAACCAACCUAAUGUCAAGCUCCUUGGCUGCUGGCUUGCCUAGUUUUACUGUUGCUGUGAUGAGCCCUUGGUUGGUGUCAUAGAACCAUGGAACAGUUUUGGUUGGAAAGGACCUACCAAGCUCAUCCAUUCCAACCCUUGCCAUGAGCAGGGACAUCUUCACCAGCUCAGGUUGCUCAGAGCCCCGUCCAGCCUGGCCUGGGAUGUCUCCAGGGAUGGUUCAUCCACCACCUUUCUGGGCAACCUGGGCCAGGCUCUCACCACCCUCAGGGGCAGCAAUUUCUUCCUCAUGUCUAACCUGAAUCUCCCCUCUUUUGGUUUAAUACCAGCACCCCUUGUCCUGUCAUAACAUGCCCUUCUGUCCAUCACCAUCCUUCUUAUAGGCUCCUUUUAAGUACGGAAAGGACACAUAUCUAAGAGUUACAGGAGGAGCAGCGUGAAACCCUCCAGCCAUCGGCACAUCUGAGCUAUUUCUGGUACCAAUUUGAACCCAUCUCCAUUUACCUUCUCUAUCAUAACUCCUUAUGCAUAUUAUAGAGAAUCCCAGCGCUGUGCAGGCAGCAGGUUCAAAAGCUUUCCUUGCCCUUGAAGUCACUCACACGUAUUUCCAAAAGCAGCAGGAUUCACCCAGCUUCAAGCCUUCUUGUUGCAUGUGGUGCCGCAAAAGCAUUAUGGUAAUUCUGAGCGCUGAACCAUUUAAAACCUAUUUUAAUUGAUUCGCAGCUACUUCGUGAUUCCAGCAUAUUGUUAAAUCAGUGGCAGAUAAAAGUAGCAGGAGGUAACUUCUUUUGUAUUGCUGCAGGGAGAGCACACCUAAAAUAAGGCGUUAAAUUCUGGGUACCUCAUUGCCAGAGAGAUGCAGACAAAUUGGAGGAAAUUCGUAGAAGAGCAAUAAAAAUGAUUAAGGGUCUGAAGAGACUGAGUUAUGAGUGAAGAUUAAAGGAACUUAAUAUGUAUCGCUCGGCUAAAUGAUGACUAAGAGGGAAAUUAUACCCUUCAACAAGUACUUGGAGGGCAUAAAUAUUACAUAUAAAAAGGAAUUCUUUAGGGUGCUGAAGGACAUACAGCUUGGGAUAAAAGGAUGGCAUUAGGCAAAAGGAACCUGUCUCCGGACAUAUGUCGUUAAAAUCUAACAGGCCAUUUCUGGGAAACCAAAUUGUGAUACAUUUAUCUAAUCUUUUCUCAGUAAUAAUUUUUGCCCAUUCUAGGAAAAAAGGCAUUGUCUUCAACUAAAGACUGAGCAAGAACUCCUAGAUGCAGUCCAGGGAUGUGUACACCAAGAAGAAUAAUUCCCAAUCCAAGUUGGGAAAACAGCAAAAAAGAAUUCUGAGUAUUUGAAGGUUGAUAUACCCUUUACCGAGAGCCAAAGGAUGUAUAAGAUAUGAAAUUAGCGAUCUGUAUUUUAGGACUGUGCCUUGUUGCCAGGAUACCAUGGGGAAAAUAAAAGUAACAAUGCAUGUCUUUAAAACAUAACAUUCCAUUAAUUUCAGUGAGAAUUGUACCAAUAUUUAAAUGAGAGGACAGACCACUAUGAAGAAUAAAUCUUUCUGCUGUUUCCUCAUAGAACCAACUUACAGCUCAGAACCCAGUUGGAAGAAGAGACAAAAUACUCUUCUCCAUGGGAGCUGGGGAGCUGUGGCUGCAUGUCCCAACCCCAGUUUGUGUUAGGAAGUAACUGAGUGUGCAACAGGUUGGAACGUCUGCGUGAAACUGGGCUUUGCUACACCUCUGCUCAGCAGAGCGGCUCAGCGGCAGAGCCGUGUAAGUCCUAAAACUGUGAAGUACAGCAUAUAUAUCACCUUGUGGUUUUUCAGACUUACUGCAUGGAAACUCCAUGGCUGAAUUUAGAGGUCCCCACCCAGUAAAUUAUUUGCUUCCUGUUCCAGUUACCCCUUUGCUUUUCUGACCAAAGGGGGAAUCCUGAAGCUUCUUGCUCAAGCAGCUCUCUUGGAGAACUCAGCACGUCCGUUUGCUCCUCGCAGCUUGUGGCAGAAGGGUGACAGAGACAUUUUGGGGAAGUUUUUUGUCUUUUCCUGUCACAACCCACAUCCGUUUCUGGGGAGAUUACAAUUUGACGUAAGGGUAUCGUUUUCUGCUGGUGCCCUGUAGCAACAUCCCUUGAGCAGAGCUUUGGGAAGCGGCGCCUGGUGAUGGGAGGUCAUGGGAAAAGGGCUCCCCAAAACCAGCAGGAGCGGGAAGCAAAAGUUUCCCGAGUGCUUGCGGGCAAUGAACUUCCCCUGGUUUUUUGAUUUGGGAGAGAAGCAGCAAAAAAGCAGAAACAUCUGCCUUUCUGACCCCUCUUCAUGAGAAUAACCAAAAGAUGCUGAAGCUGUAGCAGGCACACAGAGGAAGAGCAGGCUGUGACCCCGGAUUAGCAUCCCAUUACAGUGGUGCUCUGAGGACACAAUCUGACUUGUUUAUCCCAGACUUAAAUCUGGCUAUAAAUGCACAGUUCUGCUGCUGUCAAACCCAGCCACUGAACCUCUUUGUCGGGAUUCUGCCCCAAACCACCGUCGGUAGCAAUUCCCCUGCGUGAAAUAAAUCACCUUUAAAAUUCACAUGCUUGCACUAUGAGUUAUGUGCCUGCUUUCCAACACUACUAAAGGGCUCUCCCAUCUUUUUUACCAGAUAAGCAGAGCUAAGAAACGUGCACAAACUUGUUUUAAAAGGAAGAUGAUCCCCUACAUAUUGCAGAGUAAGUACGGCAAUCAGCAGAAAUUGUUUACAGAGGUGAAGGUCAGGAGCUUUCAUUUUAUGAAAACAAAUCUAGUUUGAGACAGUUCUACUAUAAUUCCUAUAAUGAAAUCCUUCAUUUUUUCCCUCUCUGAACAUCCUGAGUCAUGAGAAUUAAAGUCCGGUCUUAAUUUUUAGAUUUUUUAGAUUAUUUACUCUGACUGUUCUUUUUCUGACUAUCCUUGUUCACGGUAACACAAUCAGUUCUUGUGCCAUAAAAUAUUGUAUUUCUCUCCCCAUCUUACCGGUUUAUGUUGAAGAUAGCUCCUAAGUGUCCGUGAGAUGGGUAGACACAACGUUUAUGGAGUGCCUGGAAUUUGGUCUACUGUGUGUAGAUACCACCAAGAUACUCCAGAUGAUGGUUGGUGAGGAAUAGCAAGAACAGAGAC